rnacentral:rRNA from 1 species
UACGAAGGGUGCAAGCGUUACUCGGAAUUACUGGGCGUAAAGCGUGCGUAGGUGGUGAGUUAAGUCUGUCGUGAAAGCCCCGGGCUCAACCUGGGAAUGGCGAUGGAUACUGGCUCGCUAGAGUGCGGUAGAGGAGAGCGGAAUUCCCGGUGUAGCAGUGAAAUGCGUAGAGAUCGGGAGGAACAUCAGUUGCGAAGGCGGCUCUCUGGACCAGCACUGACACUGAGGCACGAAAGCGUGGGGAGCAAACAGG